GCGUUCCAAAUAGAUUGCUGCUGCAGCGGGUGGAGCGCGAGCCAGCGACGGCAGACCAUGGCGCACAGGGCGCGUAUGAGAGUGAGCAACCCGAAGAGAAAAGACACUUUCCAAUGUUGUGUCAGUUAAUGUAAUGAUAACUACAACCAGUCAGCCACGGAUGAUUUUGUGAUUGAGUUGAGUGGUGACCGGGGAAAUGCCGAACGGUGUUAGGAAGCGUGUGUGGAUGGAGCAGCAGCAGCGGUGGAGGAACUAACGGAGAACUAGAAGAGAGGAGCACAACACGAGCGCAGAACAAGUGAACCGCUCUCAUCGCGGAAGGACGGAGAACUUUUGAAACAUUUUACGCGCUUUCUUCUCGCGCAUGCUUUGCGGUUGAUAUCUGCUUUCACGUAUGCCGAGGCGCGGGGAAGCUUCUUUCAACCCGACGACACACUGUGAGAGAAGACAUUUGAACUCAGCGAGGAGGUGAUACUGAGUCCCAGAGACUCACUGAGCCACUAGGAACCAUGUUGAAGUUUCAUAACUCGGACCUUUGGAUAGCCUGGAUUGUCAUUUUUUGCAUGGAGGGUUCCAGAUUUGAUCUGAAUACAGCAAAAGCUGAACAAAGCCAUUUUUAAACACGGGGAUGGAACCAUUGCCAGC
ensembl:lncRNA